rnacentral:rRNA from 1 species
GACGAGCGCUGGCGGCGUGCUUAACACAUGCAAGUCGAACGGAAAGGCCCUGCUUUUGUGGGGUGCUCGAGUGGCGAACGGGUGAGUAACACGUGAGUAACCUACCCUUGACUUUGGGAUAACUUCAGGAAACUGGGGCUAAUACCGGAUAGGAGCUCCUGCUGCAUGGUGGGGGUUGGAAAGUUUCGGCGGUUGGGGAUGGACUCGCGGCUUAUCAGCUUGUUGGUGGGGUAGUGGCUUACCAAGGCUUUGACGGGUAGCCGGCCUGAGAGGGUGACCGGCCACAUUGGGACUGAGAUACGGCCCAGACUCCUACGGGAGGCAGCAGUGGGGAAUAUUGCACAAUGGGCGGAAGCCUGAUGCAGCAACGCCGCGUGCGGGAUGACGGCCUUCGGGUUGUAAACCGCUUUCGCCUGUGACGAAGCGUGAGUGACGGUAAUGGGUAAAGAAGCACCGGCUAACUACGUG